UCAAAAAAGAAAACAAAGGAUCAAUAAAAUCCUCUCCCUAAUCCUGGUGGCAAGAAGAUGGAUUUCUCCAAAUAGUCAUCCAAUAAUUGCAAGAACAAAGGAAGUUACCUAUGCUGACUAAAAUAAUGGUAUUGCAACACUGUAAGUGUAAGCUUCAGGAACAACUAAAUUUAACCCAUUAAAUAUGAAAUAUCUUACUUAAAGCAACAGGUGUUAUGUCCGACCCCUAACAAAAGUUGUGGUAUCAAAAUCCGAGAAAAAUUUUUAAAUGAUAAAAUAAACAUAUUGUUGACAGAGGCUAGGGCAUGAGGCAGUAUUAAAUACAAUAUUCACUGAGGCAAUCGAAGCAACCUGGUAAUCCUGUUUUGAUGGAUAUCCCCAUCUUGAGGACAAACUUCACUUAGG
rnacentral:misc_RNA from 1 species